CACAAAUAUGAAGGCGGGCUGGAAUCUCUCGGGGUUACAGCCUUGUUGAAUUAUUCACCCUUGUCUUUUGCGUACUUCUUGUUUCCUCGGUGGGUUCGCCCACCACUAGGACAAACACAAACCUUUUGUAACUGCAAUCAGCGUCAGUAACAAAUUAAUAAUUA
rnacentral:misc_RNA from 1 species